GGCUUCAGAGACAAACAAAUGAGAGCGAGAGAAGCCAGAUUCAGUCGGUUCACAGCUUGUUGUUCUCAGGCGAUGAUAUUCUCCUGAAUCACACGGCAAGGCAGUGGGACACACCUGCCACGACCUAAUGAAACUGUAUGACAAGACAGGAAGUGGAAGAACAGACCCAGAUGAGUGAGCCUUAAAGAUUUACAGUGUGGAAAGUAAACCAAUCUGGGAGUUCAACGGCCCAUAUGAAGAUAGAGAGCCUGUUAAGUAUUAAGGCUGGAGGGGCUCAGGUGCAGUAUAGUCAAGGCUCUGAUCCCACACCUGCACCAGGAGGAACUUUGAAUUGAAGCGGUUCUCAGGUCUCCUCCUUUUAUUAAAAAUGACCGGUCACUGGGAGCUAGGUGGUGGAUUAUCUCAGCAAGUGUGAACAGCAGAUACAUGUCUGCAGCACUUACCACAGAGACAAGUCCCACGGCCUACUCCAGGGCUUUGACGAUGGCCUCGUUGGCGUCUAUGUUGAUCUGGACCUCAGCCCUGGCAGCCUCGUCAGACGCUGAUGCCAUCUCAGACUGGGCCUUCUCCAGGUUGGCCUUGGCAGCCUAAGAGAGGCGUCAGAUACACGUCAAUACAAUAACAGUUUCUGCAUAUGUGUACUAUGAUGCAAUGUGUUAGAUAUCAUGCACACUAAAUAUUCUAGCACAGUA